rnacentral:rRNA from 1 species
UACGAAGGGGCGUAGCGUUGCUCGGAAUUACUGGGCGUAAAGCGCACGUAGGCGGCUUCUUAAGUCGGAGGUGAAAUCCUGGAGCUCAACUCCAGAACUGCCUUCGAUACUGGGGAGCUCGAGUUCGGGAGAGGUGAGUGGAACUGCGAGUGUAGAGGUGAAAUUCGUAGAUAUUCGCAAGAACACCAGUGGCGAAGGCGGCUCACUGGCCCGAUACUGACGCUGAGGUGCG